rnacentral:rRNA from 1 species
CGCGUAGGCGGUGCGGUAAGUCUGAUGUGAAACCUCCAGGCUCAACUUGGAGCUGGCAUCAGAUACUGCCGUGCUAGAGUGCGGGAGAGGAGAGUGGAAUUCCUGGUGUAGCGGUGAAAUGCGUAGAUAUCAGGAGGAACACCGGUGGCGAAGGCGGCUCUCUGGACCGCAACUGACGCUGAGGCGCGAAAGUCGGGGGAGCAAACAGGAUUAGAUACCCUGGUAGUCCCGACCGUAAACGAUGAACACUUGGUAUAGCGGGUAUCGAAUCCCGCCGUGCCGGAGCUAACGCAUUAAGUGUUCCACCUGGGGAGUACGGUCGCAAGGCUGAA